UGUAAACCGGUUUAAUAUCCUAGAUAAUUG
rnacentral:piRNA from 1 species